CAUGGGAUCUGUACGGACUCAAGUCCUUUGGAAAAAGGCGCCAUGGAGAGUGACAGUCUCGUCCUGUCCAAUACAUUUCCCUCUGUAUGACUCCUUCAAAGAGUCGAGUUGUUUGGGAAUGCAGCUCAAAGUGGGACGUAAAUUUGUUCCAAAGCUAAAUACCGGCUAGAGACCGAUAGCGCACAAGUAGAGUGAUCGAAAGAUGAAAAGCACUUUGAAAAGAGAGUUAAAAAGCACGUGAAAUUGUUGAAAGGGAAGCUUAUGUCAUCAGAAAUGGCGUCAAUGUUCAGCCUUUUGGUCUACUCAUUGAUUGCCAGGCUAGCAUCAAUUGGGACAGCCGGAUAAAAGUGUUGGAAAUGUAGCUCCUUCGGGAGUGUUAUAGUCCGAUGCAGAAUGCGGCUAGUCCCGAUUGAGGACCGCUUUGAGGAUGC
rnacentral:rRNA from 1 species